rnacentral:rRNA from 1 species
AUUGAACGCUGGCGGCAGGCCUAACACAUGCAAGUCGAACGGUAGCACAGAGAGCUUGCUCUCGGGUGACGAGUGGCGGACGGGUGAGUAAUGUCUGGGAAACUGCCCGAUGGAGGGGGAUAACUACUGGAAACGGUAGCUAAUACCGCAUAAUGUCGCAAGACCAAAGAGGGGGACCUUCGGGCCUCUUGCCAUCGGAUGUGCCCAGAUGGGAUUAGCUUGUAGGUGAGGUAACGGCUCACCUAGGCGACGAUCCCUAGCUGGUCUGAGAGGAUGACCAGCCACACUGGAACUGAGACACGGUCCAGACUCCUACGGGAGGCAGCAGUGGGGAAUAUUGCACAAUGGGCGCAAGCCUGAUGCAGCCAUGCCGCGUGUAUGAAGAAGGCCUUCGGGUUGUAAAGUACUUUCAGCGGGGAGGAAGGGAGUGAGGUUAAUAACCUUAUUCAUUGACGUUACCCGCAGAAGAAGCACCGGCUAACUCCGUGCCAGCAGCCGCGGUAAUACGGAGGGUGCAAGCGUUAAUCGGAAUUACUGGGCGUAAAGCGCACGCAGGCGGUCUGUCAAGUCGGAUGUGAAAUCCCCGGGCUCAACCUGGGAACUGCAUUCGAAACUGGCAGGCUGGAGUCUUGUAGAGGGGGGUAGAAUUCCAGGUGUAGCGGUGAAAUGCGUAGAGAUCUGGAGGAAUACCGGUGGCGAAGGCGGCCCCCUGGACAAAGACUGACGCUCAGGUGCGAAAGCGUGGGGAGCAAACAGGAUUAGAUACCCUGGUAGUCCACGCUGUAAACGAUGUCGACUUGGAGGUUGUUCCCUUGAGGAGUGGCUUCCGGAGCUAACGCGUUAAGUCGACCGCCUGGGGAGUACGGCCGCAAGGUUAAAACUCAAAUGAAUUGACGGGGGCCCGCACAAGCGGUGGAGCAUGUGGUUUAAUUCGAUGCAACGCGAAGAACCUUACCUACUCUUGACAUCCACGGAAUUUGGCAGAGAUGCCUUAGUGCCUUCGGGAACCGUGAGACAGGUGCUGCAUGGCUGUCGUCAGCUCGUGUUGCGAAAUGUUGGGUUAAGUCCCGCAACGAGCGCAACCCUUAUCCUUUGUUGCCAGCGAUUCGGUCGGGAACUCAAAGGAGACUGCCAGUGAUAAACUGGAGGAAGGUGGGGAUGACGUCAGGUCAUCAUGGCCCUUACGAGUAGGGCUACACACGUGCUACAAUGGCAUAUACAAAGAGAAGCGACCUCGCGAGAGCAAGCGGACCUCAUAAAGUAUGUCGUAGUCCGGAUUGGAGUCUGCAACUCGACUCCAUGAAGUCGGAAUCGCUAGUAAUCGUGGAUCAGAAUGCCACGGUGAAUACGUUCCCGGGCCU